AUUGAACGCUGGCGGCAUGCCUAACACAUGCAAGUCGAACGGAGGUAGGGGCAACUCUACUUCAGUGGCGGACGGGUGAGGAAUGCGUCGGAACCUACCCUAUGGUGGGGGAUAACACAGGGAAACUUGUGCUAAUACCGCAUAAUGUCGAGAGACCAAAGCAGGGGACCGCAAGGCCUUGCGCGAUAGGAUGAGCCGACGCCCGAUUAGCUAGUUGGUAGGGUAAAGGCCUACCAAGGCGACGAUCGGUAGCUGGUCUGAGAGGAUGAUCAGCCACACUGGGACUGAGACACGGCCCAGACUCCUACGGGAGGCAGCAGUGGGGAAUAUUGGACAAUGGGCGGAAGCCUGAUCCAGCAAUGCCGCGUGUGUGAAGAAGGCCUCGGUUGUAAGACACUUUAUUCAGGACGAAAGACGUUGGAGUUAAUACUCUGACGUGCUGACGGUACC
rnacentral:rRNA from 1 species